UGAAAACAAUAAUUUUAUUAUAAAAGUUAAAAAGAUACAAAAAAUUAUAAUUAAAUAUUAUUCAAGAAAAAAACAUUUAUAUAAAGAUAUUUUCUAAACUAUUUCUAAGAUAUGAGUGUUUUAAAAAAUUUAACACGGGAUGGUUAGAACACGGAAUUAUGCUUAUGAGAGAGUGGCUCGGGAAUGGGCUUCAAGAUGGGUCGUCAUGAGAGAAAGGUAAAUGGGGGAGACGGCGAUUAGGUUAUUCAGAGGAUGAGAAAGCUGUGUGCGCUUUGGCUUGAGUCUCAACAAUACGUAGAUUAGGGUUAAUGGGCUGGACUGGGAUAAAGUGAAUUAUUAGAUUGAUGAGUGAAUUAUCAGAGUUUGGCUUAACUUCGGCUGAUGGCGCAAAACAAAAAUACGGAGUCGGAGAAUGAGUUAGCGCACAGGAAGCCCGAUCGUGAUUUUAAUUUGAAGCCUAAUCUGGCAGUGACGUGGCAAUUUGAUUGGCCCUGAUUAUUUUGAGCAUGUGACUAGCUUUAGGAAGCUUAAAAAUAGUCCCUUUUAUAUAGUGGGAUAAGAUAUUUUCUAAACUAUUUCUAAGAUAUGAGUGUUUUAAAAAAUUUAACACGGGAUGUUUAGAACACGGGAUUAUGCUUAUGAGAGAGUAGCUCGGGAAUGGGCUUCGAGAUGGGUCGUCAUGAGAGAAAGGUAAAUGGGGGAGACGG
rnacentral:lncRNA from 1 species